GAUGAACGCUGGCGGCGUGCCUAAUACAUGCAAGUCGAGCGAACAGACGAGGAGCUUGCUCCUCUGACGUUAGCGGCGGACGGGUGAGUAACACGUGGAUAACCUACCUAUAAGACUGGGAUAACUUCGGGAAACCGGAGCUAAUACCGGAUAAUAUAUUGAACCGCAUGGUUCAAUAGUGAAAGACGGUUUUGCUGUCACUUAUAGAUGGAUCCGCGCCGCAUUAGCUAGUUGGUAAGGUAACGGCUUACCAAGGCAACGAUGCGUAGCCGACCUGAGAGGGUGAUCGGCCACACUGGAACUGAGACACGGUCCAGACUCCUACGGGAGGCAGCAGUAGGGAAUCUUCCGCAAUGGGCGAAAGCCUGACGGAGCAACGCCGCGUGAGUGAUGAAGGUCUUCGGAUCGUAAAACUCUGUUAUUAGGGAAGAACAAAUAUGUAAGUAACUAUGCACGUCUUGACGGUACCUAAUCAGAAAGCCACGGCUAACUACGUG
rnacentral:rRNA from 1 species